rnacentral:rRNA from 1 species
UACGAAGGUUGCAAGCGUUGUUCGGAAUCACUGGGCUUAAAGCGCAUGUAGGCGGCUCAAUAAGUGUCUUGUGAAAUACCCCGGCUCAACCGGGGAAUUGCUCGGCAUACUGUUGAGCUUGAGGCAGGUAGGGAUGUGUGGAACUCUUGGUGGAGCGGUGGAAUGCGUAGAUAUCAAGAGGAACGCCGGAGGCGAAAGCGACGCAUUGGGCCUGUCCUGACGCUGAGAUGCGAAAGCCAGGGGAGCAAAC